UCUGCAGGGAUAGUGUGUAUCGGCUGGUGCUAAAAUAAAAUGCGCCAAGCUCGAAAGAUUUCCCAUGCUAUAACAAAUUUCAGGGGAAGGUGGGCAGUUGUGUUUCAUUCAUCUCGUUGAUUCAACAACAAUCAUUUUCCCCAUAUGA
rfam:Daucus carota subsp. sativus cultivar DH1 chromosome 5, whole genome shotgun sequence.